rnacentral:misc_RNA from 1 species
GAAAUUACAAAACAAAAGAGCUAUGACGAGGAUGAGAAUGAGGUACAGGAUCGAAUAAUAAAAUCCUCGACUCCUGAAAAUGUUGGAAAGAGGCAUAGAUCUGUUAGGGUAUCAUCUUCACAUUAUGAGCACCCUGAAGAGAGACAUGUUACAAAGUCAUCCAAGUCACCAGAUCGCUCCAGAGGAAGAUCACGAUCAAAAAGUGUUCUGGAGGAGUCUUUCCUUGUACCUAAGUCUCGUGAGAUAGAUGACACAUAUGAAAAGGAAAGCAGAUAUAAAGGUAACUUUGAUGAUGAAAAAAUUGGAUACAACCGGGACUAUCGACAUGGAAGCCGAGAUUCUUCAAGGGACAGGGAAAAGGAGCAUAAUUCUGGUAACAGCAGAUCCUCUAGAGACAGGUAUUAUAACAGGGAGAGUGUUGAUAGAUUUCGGGAGAGUAGUAUGGAGAAUGACAGGGAUAGAGUAAGAGAUAAAGACAGGGAGCGUGAGUUGGCUAGAGAAAAGCGAAGGGAGAGCGAUAAGGAGAGGCGAAGGGAGAGCGAUAAGGAGAG